GACGAACGCUGGCGGCGUGCUUAACACAUGCAAGUCGAACGGGAAGGCCCUGCUUUUGUGGGGUGCUCGAGUGGCGAACGGGUGAGUAACACGUGAGUAACCUGCCCUUGACUUUGGGAUAACUUCAGGAAACUGGGGCUAAUACCGGAUAGGAGCUCCUGCUGCAUGGUGGGGGUUGGAAAGUUUCGGCAGUUGGGGAUGGACUCGCGGCUUAUCAGCUUGUUGGUGGGGUAGUGGCUUACCAAGGCUUUGACGGGUAGCCGGCCUGAGAGGGUGACCGGCCACAUUGGGACUGAGAUACGGCCCAGACUCCUACGGGAGGCAGCAGUGGGGAAUAUUGCACAAUGGGCGGAAGCCUGAUGCAGCAACGCCGCGUGCGGGAUGACGGCCUUCGGGUUGUAAACCGCUUUCGCCUGUGACGAAGCGUGAGUGACGGUAAUGGGUAAAGAAGCACCGGCUAACUAUGUG
rnacentral:rRNA from 1 species